CCUGCAGAUGCAAGAUCUUAAUUUGAGACAUUUGGUACAGGGAAAUUAAAUUUGAAUUAUUAUUAUGGAUUAAAAUGAAUGGACAUUUUUGUAGGAGUUGAUACAUUUUAAGGGAAAUUCAGGUUGGACAUUUCAAAGUGAAAUUAAAAAACUUCAGAAGCCUUUUUAAACCUCAAAUACACUUACCCUGCAACCCUCAUUCAUGUGUUGUUGACACUCACUCGGAAGGGGAUUGGCAGAGGCAUAAGGUUACUGAGAGUUUCAUUAGUUAGUUAAACCAGAAGGGGAUUGGCAGAGGCAUAAGGUUACUGAGAGUUUCAUUAGUUAGUUAAACCAGAAGGGGAUUGGCAGAGGCAUAAGGUUACUGAGAGUUUCAUUAGUUAGUUAAACCAGAAGGGGAUUGGCAGAGGCAUAAGGUUACUGAGAGUUUCAUUAGUUAGUUAAACCAGAAGGGGAUUGGCAGAGGCAUAAGGUUACUGAGAGUUUCAUUAGUUAGUUAAACCAGAAGGGGAUUGGCAGAGGCAUAAGGUUACUGAGAGUUUCAUUAGUUAGUUAAACCAGAAGGGGAUUGGCAGAGGCAUAAGGUUACUGAGAGUUUCAUUAGUUAGUUAAACCAGAAGGGGAUUGGCAGAGGCAUAAGGUUACUGAGAGUUUCAUUAGUUAGUUAAACCAGAAGGGGAUUGGCAGAGGCAUAAGGUUACUGAGAGUUUCAUUAGUUAGUUAAACCAGAAGGGGAUUGGCAGAGGCAUAAGGUUACUGAGAGUUUCAUUAGUUAGUUAAACCAGAAGGGGAUUGGCAGAGGCAUAAGGUUACUGAGAGUUUCAUUAGUUAGUUAAACCAGAAGGGGAUUGGCAGAGGCAUAAGGUUACUGAGAGUUUCAUUAGUUAGUUAAACCAGAAGGGGAUUGGCAGAGGCAUAAGGUUACUGAGAGUUUCAUUAGUUAGUUAAACCAGAAGGGGAUUGGCAGAGGCAUAAGGUUACUGAGAGUUUCAUUAGUUAGUUAAACCAGAAGGGGAUUGGCAGAGGCAUAAGGUUACUGAGAGUUUCAUUAGUUAGUUAAACCAGAAGGGGAUUGGCAGAGGCAUAAGGUUACUGAGAGUUUCAUUAGUUAGUUAAACCAGAAGGGGAUUGGCAGAGGCAUAAGGUUACUGAGAGUUUCAUUAGUUAGUUAAACCAGAAGGGGAUUGGCAGAGGCAUAAGGUUACUGAGAGUUUCAUUAGUUAGUUAAACCAGAAGGGGAUUGGCAGAGGCAUAAGGUUACUGAGAGUUUCAUUAGUUAGUUAAACCAGAAGGGGAUUGGCAGAGGCAUAAGGUUACUGAGAGUUUCAUUAGUUAGUUAAACCAGAAGGGGAUUGGCAGAGGCAUAAGGUUACUGAGAGUUUCAUUAGUUAGUUAAACCAGAAGGGGAUUGGCAGAGGCAUAAGGUUACUGAGAGUUUCAUUAGUUAGUUAAACCAGAAGGGGAUUGGCAGAGGCAUAAGGUUACUGAGAGUUUCAUUAGUUAGUUAAGUCUGGACACUGCUAUAGCAAAUUGAAUUCCAGACUGUUUAUUUGACAUUUAGCAAACGUACUUAUCCAGAGCAAAUGGGGUUCAGUGCCUUGCUCAACGGCACAUCAACAGGUUUUUCUCCCAGUCAGCUCAGGGACUCAAACCAGCAACCUUUCAAUUGCUGGACCAAUCCCUCUUAACUGCUCUUCAUUUGAUCACCGUGUUGUUGCAGGAAAUGUCU